UCUCAGUGAGGAAACAUUCGCAUGUCUUAACUCCUGUCCUAGUCCCAGAGCCUGUAGAGGUGAACCCACUGGGGCUGGCUGGGGAGAAGAGGAAAGUUUGUUCCAGAAGGAACUGUCUAAGGCAG
ensembl:snoRNA SNORD22 Small nucleolar RNA SNORD22